CCUACGGGAGGCAGCAGUGAGGAAUAUUGGUCAAUGGACGAGAGUCUGAACCAGCCAAGUAGCGUGAAGGAUGACGGCCCUAUGGGUUGUAAACUUCUUUUAUAUGGGAAUAAAAUGUUCCACGUGUGGGAUGUUGUAUGUACCAUAUGAAUAAGGAUCGGCUAACUCCGUGCCAGCAGCCGCGGUAAUACGGAGGAUCCGAGCGUUAUCCGGAUUUAUUGGGUUUAAAGGGAGCGUAGGUGGAUUGUUAAGUCAGUUGUGAAAGUUUGCGGCUCAACCGUAAAAUUGCAGUUGAAACUGGCAGUCUUGAGUACAGUAGCGGUGGGCGGAAUUCGUGGUGUAGCGGUUACAUGCUUAGAUAUCACGAAGAACUCCGAUUGCGAAGGCAGCUCACUGGACUGCAACUGACACUGAGGCUCGAAAGCGUGGGGAGCAAACAGGAUUAGAUACCCCAGUAGUC
rnacentral:rRNA from 1 species